GCAGAGAAGCAGUGUUGAUGCCAAAUUUAAUUUAUUUCUCAUCAACAUAUUAGAGAAAGCUGCAUUUCUGUCUCUGCAGAAGACGCAGUGGUUGUCCAGUGGUUUAAUUUAUCAAAGAAAAAAAAAGAUAUUUGAAACAACAUAGCGCUUAGUGAAAAUACUUAUUAAAUUAUGAACUACUGAUCAACCAUUUUUUAGUUCACUUUUUCCAACCACAACCAAGACUGACCGCUGCCAAUCAGAACCGGCAUAAUUAAGAAGUCACUUAAGUAGAACCUUUCUGACAACAUGAAGUAGGCAAAUGUAACCUGCACAAAAUAAUCAACCCGUAUUUUAUUUUUGCGGGUCAAACUGAUGGUACACUUUAAGUUCCGGGUCACAGGUGAAUUCGGAUCUCCAUUGCUGUUGCUGCUGUCACUGUGGUUAGAUGCUUGUGUUGGCGUCUUCUAAAAUCACAGAAGAAUACGGCUGGAUCGAGCCCUAUUAACACAGCCGAAGGAUUAUAUUUGGUGUUUUCUGGCAACCGCUCGACGUUCAGGUUUUUUUCCACCCCUGUUUCAACCCAGGAUGGCGAGCUACCGGAUCGCCGCAGCUUUGCGGUAGGACUUAAAUGAACUAAACUACUUUAUGCAUUCUGGACCUAUUGGCUUGGAUCAUGGACUAAAAACAGUCGGAUUAUUGAUUGAUGGAUCAUUAAUCACCUUGGAUUCAAGAACGGACUUAGAAUAGGAAAAAAAACAAAAACUCUUGGGUGUCAUCAGGGUUUAUUGCUUUGUUGUUGUUUUUCUUCUUGUCUUUUGGUUAUAUUCAUAGAAAAUCACUAUUAUUAUAAAUAUUAUUAUUGAAUACCUUCUUAAAUAUAUGCAAAAAUAUAAGCUUGAAUACAAUAACUUGAACUUACUUUCUGUCUAAUGGUGUUUUAUUCACACACACACACAGGCUCCACAGCCGAACCUUUCUGACUGCCUAUUAUUAUAUUUGGCCGUAGUCGGGCGCCUAGCCUUAAUUAGCGUUACACAAACGGUCACAUCAUGCCUCAAUGUAAAGAAAUUCAUGAAAGAGAAAAGGGUCACAAAGUCUAAGACUUUGGAGUCAGAAUGAUUAUCCACAAAUGGAGAAGACAUGGAAACAGAUGUGAACCUUCCCAGGAGUUAAAAUACUGAGAGAAUGCAUCAAUAGAUCCAGGAGAACACGCACACAAAAAAAACAAUAAAACAAAAAUCUAAAGCACUGUAGGCCUCACUUGCUUUAGUUAAAGUCAGUGUUUAACAUUCAGCAGUAAGAGAGACCAUCCAUAGUUUAUACCCGCUUAUCCAUGCGCAAGGACUGGUGCCCAUCUCUAAAACAAAUAAGGGACAGAUCAAAAAUGGCAUCCACGAGAGAGUUCAAGGCCAGAAAUGACCAAAAAGAACCUAAAGGGUUGUUUCAUAUUU